rnacentral:tRNA from 1 species
GGAGUAUUAGGCCCUCUAAGCUUUAAAAUCUUGGUUCGAGUCCAAGAGAUUGUA